rnacentral:rRNA from 1 species
GCGCGAACACUUUACAAUGCUGGCAACAGCGAUAAGGGAACCUCGAGUGCCAGGUUACAAAUCUGGCUGUCGAGAUGCCUAAAAAGCAUUUCAUAGCAAGGGCCGGGCAAGACCGGUGCCAGCCGCCGCGGUAACACCGGCGGCUCGAGUGGUAACCGUUAUUAUUGGGUCUAAAGGGUCUGUAGCCGGCCGGUUAAGUCUCUUGAGAAAUCUGGCAGCUUAACUGUCAGGCUUUCAGGAGAUACUGUCUGGCUCGAGGCCGGGAGAGGUGAGAGGUACUUCAGGGGUAGGGGUGAAAUCUUGUAAUCCUUGAAGGACCACCAGUGGCGAAGGCGUCUCACCAGAACGGACCUGACGGCAAGGGACGAAAGCUAGGGGCACGAACC